GCAUCCAUGUUUACUUCUUGGGGUGAGUUCAGUUUUCUUUUCUUUUUUUCUCCUCAUAAUAUUUUUGGUUUAGUUGGCUGUACCUUUCAUUCUAUCUGGUUAUUUCUUUAUUAAAUAUCAUAGAGCUCUAGCUUUAUUAAAUCGUCAGUAAACUUAUCUUACAGGAAAGACAGAGAGUUCAAGGUCUGCAUCAAGUUGGCGAACAAACCUGACCUGUAUCAACCAAUUUAAUUUGUAGACGCCGUAUGUCAACUGUAGGUAAUCAAAUCGUCUAAGGAAAAUUCUUUUUGGAAGUUGAAGACUAUCGUGGUGGUUAAUGGUUCAUAUACUUCUGAGAUUCCUCUAAUUUCUCAUUGCACCUCUGUUUCU
rnacentral:lncRNA from 1 species